AACGAACGCUGGCGGCAUGCCUAACACAUGCAAGUCGAACGAGACCUUCCGGUCUUGGUGCGCUCCGGUGCUUAACGCGUGGGAACCUGCCCGUGGGUUCGGUAUACCUCCCCUUGAGGUGUCCUAAUGCCACUUAGUGUCUUCGCACCAAAGAUCUAUCGCGUUUGGAUGGGCGCGCGUUGGUUUCGCUGGUUGGUAGUGUACAAGCCUGCCAUGGCGACGAUCCUUAGCUGGUCUGGGAAGAUGAUCAGCCACACUGGGAAUGAGACACGGCCCAGACUCGUACGGGAGGGAGCAGUGGGGAAUAUUAGAGGAGGGGCGAAAGCGUGACACAGCCACGCGGGGUAAGUGAUGCAGGGGUUAGGGUUGUAAAGCUGUUUUAGCCGGGAUGAUAAUGACAGUACCGGGAGAAGAAGCUCCGGCUAACUACGUG
rnacentral:rRNA from 1 species